UACGGAAGGCAGCAGUGGGGAAUAUUGCACAAUGGGCGCAAGCCUGAUGCAGCCAUGCCGCGUGUAUGAAGAAGGCCUUCGGGCUGUAAAGUACUUUCAGUCGUGAGGAAGGUGUUAAGGUUAAUAACCUUAGCAAUUGACGUUAGCGACAGAAGAAGCACCGGCUAACUCCGUGCCAGCAGCCGCGGUAAUACGGAGGGUGCGAGCGUUAAUCGGAAUUACUGGGCGUAAAGGGCACGCAGGCGGUUAAUUAAGUUGGAUGUGAAAUCCCCGGGCUUAACCUGGGAAUGGCAUUCAAGACUGGUUAGCUAGAGUCUUGUAGAGGGGGUAGAAUUCCAUGUGUAGCGGUGAAAUGCGUAGAGAUGUGGAGGAAUACCGGUGGCGAAGGCGGCCCCUGGACAAAGACUGACGCUCAUGUGCGAAAGCGUGGGGAGCAAACAGGGAUUAGAUACC
rnacentral:rRNA from 1 species